rnacentral:lncRNA from 1 species
AAUAUUCCAACAAAGAAAAGAAAGAGAUGUUAGUGACUUAGGUAAAUUAUCCAUGGUUUCUUUAUUUUUUUUUUUCAUUUGUUUUGAUUAUAAGUUAUAUGUGGUAAUGCAUGAUUUCAUUAUAUUUUUGUAUUCAAUUGCUUUGAUUAUAAGUUAUAUCUGAUAAUGCAUGAUUUCUUUAUUUUUUUGUUUUCAAUUGUUUUGAUUAUAAGUUAUAUUUGAUAUUUGAUGGUUUCCUUGGUUUAUUACAGGUUAGACAUGGCUGAUGACCAACAUGAGGAAGUUAGUAAAGUAUCCGCGGAAGAAGAAAUCCGAAGAGGCAUCACAGUAAUGCGAAGGGUGGUCCAAGGAAGAUCUCGAGGCAUCAUACUAGAUGUCUCUUGGAACAACCAGGGACAACUUAUAGAACCUAAUGGGCAUACCUUAACUAGUUUCAUCGGUGCACUAGUAAGGAAUGAAAUUCCCAUUACAUGUGAUGAUUGGAGAAAUAAAGAGUUGAAAGAGUCCAAAGAAAAAAUUUGGAGUGAGAUAAAGGUACAAUCAUUUGGCCCUUAAUUAUACGGUAUCAAUUAUGUUUUUUUCAAUUACCGAUACUAACUAUCAAUCUGUAUGUUUUUCUUAGCGAUGUUUUAACAUCGAAGAAGAAAGAAGAGGGUUUUGUAUGAAAUUG